rnacentral:SRP_RNA from 1 species
GAAGUCGUGAACUCCGCCAGGCCCGGAAGGGAGCAACGGCAGCGACGGAAUCGUGUGCCGGGGUGUGGCUGGCAUGG